UGCAUUUGGGAGAGAGCUCUAUGAAGUGACGACGAGGGAUGGAGAGAGAGAAUCUGUGAGUCUCUUCUGUGCUCUGUGCUCCAGAGUUCACAAACUGUUUGAACAAUAUCACUUAUUCAAGAAGCUAGAAGACUGAUAUUAACUCGAGAGACAGAAAAGUCAACGAUUAGCUCUCAAAAUCCCUGCACAAAAUCAGAACCAGCAUGGAGAAAAAGAGUGAAACAACUUCACCACAGAAGCAGAGUGUUAAGAAUCGCUCCAAAUCCACCGAUGAGGUUCUACAAGCCAAGAAGGCUUUUCACACACCUCAGAUAUCUUUGCCUGGCCGACAAGAAUUAGAGAGAUUGAAGGAAGCAACUGAGACUACCGAAAGUGCAGAGAACGAAGAAACAUCAGUCAAGAAGGUUCAGAAUUGAAUAGAAGUCCUCAUGAUAGCUGAUCCAUUAUGUCAAGCAUUUAUUCUUUCUCUGGCUGGGCAUCCAGGAAAUCACAGUCAAUGACAUAACUGUGCCACCAGUCAGUAAGCAGCAGGAGUUCCAGCUCUUAUCAACCAAGGUUUACUUGUCAGACUGUACCUCUAACUGUGCAUGUAAAUGAACAUAGUCAUUCUUGUUAGAGCUGAGAGCAAUGAUGCUGUCAGUCUGUUAUGUAUUUAUUAAAAGUUGUGUUUUAGUGAGUGACGAAAUGAACUGUUCAACAAAUCUGAAACUAUUGUUGUAUAAGUAACACUACACGCGCUAAUGAGUGAAUGGGCAUGCAUGCUGAAACUAUGUACCCUAAACCAAUCUAUCUUUGCCCAAGCGAUGGGAGAUGUAUCCAUGAUGUUCUUCAUUUUGUAACUCAAAUGAGUAAUUUUCAGCUCUGUGUUCCCAGACAAGAUUUUCAAUUGCCAUAAGCAAUGUUUGUAACAUUGUGAUCAUUGCUCAUAAAUUUAACUUAAAUACUUAGAAAACUGUGAGCAAUAUAGGUUAGAAUAUUUGACCUAUACGUGCGUCGGAUGAGGAUCUUCUCCAGAAGCAUGGAGUCAGAAAACAUCCAUGAAGUAUCUACAGGUACAUAAAUAAACUGGUGUAAAUAAAGCCUCAUCUUAGGGUUUCAUAGCUACAUUGUGGAUUGUAUAAUUAAAAUCCAUUAUCCAAAUGUUGAAAUCCUGUGGGAUUCAAUGUUUUCCUACUUUUGUUUUACAUUUUAUCUUAGUGGUUAAUUCCAGUUAAUGAAUUUUUUUUUGUCAUUUUGUUGGUACUGUCUUCAUUCUGUUCCUGAGCUGUUGCUCCACCUGUAGAAUAAAACUAAGAAUUGGAGAAUGUCUUUUCCAAAUGUAUCUGACCAGGCCCGUCCCUCACAAGGAGAUCCCAUUCCCGUCUUACACCUGCAUCUUAAAAACAUGAUCAUCUUUCCAUGAAAGUAAAGUAAUUUUGGUGUGUUUAUCUCCUUUCUGGUGUGUAGGGGUUGUUGAAACAAUGGAAUAGUUUGGGUGACUUUCUUAUGGAGAUGGCUAUUUGUAUUUGUUUAUGUGCUGUCAAUAUUGAAUCCAGUGCACUUUAUCUAAGGAGAUGGAUAUCCACUGUUCAUGUUGAGAUUGAUGAGGGAUUGUCAAUGUUCACCUUAGGCAUUGUCGGUUGAGGGAACAGCGCCUGUAGGAAGCACUAGUUGGGAAAUGUAAGUCACAAAGACUCUAUUGCUCCAACUCUGAAGUUUGACAGAUUUGGAAAAAAAAGACUCAAAGGUGAGCCAAAAUAUUCCUCAGCGUUAUUUCAUGGUGGUGAGGAGGCGAUUAAGAAAUCAAGCUUCUGGAAUGUUCCUGGUGUGUAGAACACAAAUAAAACAGCAUGACUUCACAUGAAUGUAGUGUGUGACCCAUCAUAGUCUUGGGAGCAUGUAAUGGAAUAAGUAAUGGAAAAUCUGUAUUAAUACAAACCAUUCCUAUUAAACUUGGUAUAUUUCUUGGUAUUGUGACAAACCUUGUCCCUAAA